rnacentral:rRNA from 1 species
UAGGGAAUCUUCCACAAUGGACGCAAGUCUGAUGGAGCAACGCCGCGUGAGUGAAGAAGGUCUUCGGAUCGUAAAACUCUGUUGUUAGAGAAGAACAUGCGAGAGAGUAACUGUUCUUGUAUUGACGGUAUCUAACCAGAAAGGAACGGCUAAAUACGUGCCAG